GAUGAACGCUAGCUACAGGCUUAACACAUGCAAGUCGAGGGGCAGCAUGACCUAGCAAUAGGUUGAUGGCGACCGGCGCACGGGUGAGUAACACGUAUCCAACCUGCCGAUUAUUCCGGGAUAGCCUUUCGAAAGAAAGAUUAAUACUGGAUAGCAUAACGAGAAGGCAUCUUCUUGUUAUUAAAGAAUUUCGAUAAUCGAUGGGGAUGCGUUCCAUUAGUUUGUUGGCGGGGUAACGGCCCACCAAGACAUCGAUGGAUAGGGGUUCUGAGAGGAAGGUCCCCCACAUUGGAACUGAGACACGGUCCAAACUCCUACGGGAGGCAGCAGUGAGGAAUAUUGGUCAAUGGACGAGAGUCUGAACCAGCCAAGUAGCGUGAAGGAUGACUGCCCUAUGGGUUGUAAACUUCUUUUAUAUGGGAAUAAAGUGGGCCACGUGUGGCUUUUUGUAUGUACCAUACGAAUAAGGAUCAGCUAACUCCGUG
rnacentral:rRNA from 1 species